UACGUAGGGGGCAAGCGUUAUCCGGAUUUACUGGGUGUAAAGGGAGCGUAGACGGUGAUGCAAGUCAGAAGUGAAAGCCCGGGGCUUAACCCCGGAACGGCUUUGGAAACUGAGCAGCUAGAGUGCUGGAGAGGUAAGUGGAAUUCCUAGUGUAGCGGUGAAAUGCGUAGAUAUUAGGAGGAACACCAGUGGCGAAGGCGGCUUACUGGACUGUAACUGACGUUGAGGCUCGAAAGCGUGGGGAGCAAACAGG
rnacentral:rRNA from 1 species